rnacentral:rRNA from 1 species
CAUACAGGCAUACGGCUCAGUAACGCGUAGUCAACCUAACCUAUGGACGGGAAUAACCUCGGGAAACUGAGAAUAAUGCCCGAUAGAACAUUAUGCCUGGAAUGGUUUAUGUUCCAAAUGAUUUAUCGCCGUAGGAUGGGACUGCGGCCUAUCAGUUUGUUGGUGAGGUAAUGGCCCACCAAGACUAUUACAGGUACGGGCUCUGAGAGGAGUAGCCCGGAGAUGGGUACUGAGACACGGACCCAGGCCCUAUGGGGCGCAGCAGGCGAGAAAACUUUGCAAUGUGCGAAAGCACGACAAGGUUAAUCCGAGUGGUUUCUGCUAAAGAAACCUUUUGUCAGUCCUAGAAACACUGAUGAAUAAGGGGUGGGCAAGUUCUGGUGUCAGCCGCCGCGGUAAAACCAGCACCUCAAGUGGUCAGGAUGAUUAUUGGGCCUAAAGCAUCCGUAGCCGGCUCUGUAAGUUUUCGGUUAAAUCUGUACGCUCAACGUACAGGCUGCCGGGAAUACUGCAGAGCUAGGGAGUGGGAGAGGUAGAGGGUACUCGGUAGGAAGGGGUAAAAUCCUUUGAUCUAUUGAUGACCACCUGUGGCGAAGGCGGUCUACCAGAACACGUCCGACGGUGAGGGAUGAAAGCUGGGGGAGCAAACCGGAUUAGAUACCCGGGUAGUCCCAGCUGUAAACUAUGCAAACUCAGUGAUGCAUUGGCUUGUGGCCAAUGCAGUGCUGCAGGGAAGCCGUUAAGUUUGCCGCCUGGGAAGUACGUACGCAAGUAUGAAACUUAAAGGAAUUGGCGGGGGAGCACCACAAGGGGUGAAGCCUGCGGUUCAAUUGGAGUCAACGCCGGA